rnacentral:ncRNA from 3 species
GGGUGCGAUCAUACCAGC